rnacentral:lncRNA from 1 species
UAGUGAAUGAUGUGAAGUUCAAUUGACUUGGAUUCUGACAAUUUUGUAAUAAUAAUUUUUAGUGUGGACUGAAAGAAAGUUUCUCAGUAAGUAUGGAUUAAAUUUCUACAACUCUAUCAUGAAUUAAGGAUUUAGAACCUCAUCAGUUUCCAUUUAGUUGAUGCAUAAAUGUAUUGCUCUCCAUUUGUGUAUGUCAAACUGUUUGGAAUAAAUUUUGACAUUUCAUUUUGUUCCUAUAGGCUGGAUAUCAAGGAACUGACUUUAAGCUUCGAAUACCUUUUCCUAGACAGGCAAAUGACAGAAAGUAAGCCACCCAGGUUCAACUGACAUGAAAGGAAUAAAAGUUUAUGAACUUGGAUGUAUUUGUAGCCUACUAAAUUUUCCAUUUGUUUUUCCUUUAGGGAUGUGAAGACUCUCAUAGUUGAAAUGCUUCAAGCUGCCAAGGCCUCAACUUAAUUUGCGCAACUUUUUACUAUGGUGAGGUGCUGUUAACCUAGAGGCUGUAGAUGUUCUAAGCUUAUGUAUUUCUGUUUUUCCUGGUAUGAUACUAUAAUCCUUUGUAGUAUAGUAGGUGUCUUCCUAUCAUUGUCCUUUCUGUAAGGUUUUACUUUGUAGUUUUUAUUGUUAACUCCCAUCAGGUCUGUCGGCAUUGACAAUGUCUGAUUAAGUCGAGACAACCAAGAUGUUCUUCCCUUUCUAUUAUUAACAGAUUUCACUCUCAGAGUAAUGCACCGUCAAAACUGCUCAGAGUGAAAUGAUUUCAACCUUUUUCUUCAAGGAUUGAUUAAUUGAGAACAAAAAGUAAAUCCAAGAGCAAGUUGACAUUUCUCAUCCAUGUUAAUCUCAUUCUUUAUCUCAGCAUUUGGAAUGAAAUUUGUUCUUUCUUUCUGCCCAUGCUUCAAUAAGCAAAUCAAUGACCAUUAUCAAUAUGAAAUACCAAAACAAUGUUGCAUCAAAACCUAAUACCAACAGUUCUUGAACUUCUGUUUCAAGGAUGAUGCAGUUUUAUGAUAAUGAAACUCCCAAAGAGUGAUGAAACAGAUUUCUUCUUCCAUUUUCACAUUGAUAUAUUCUUCAGUUUUCAGUGACUUGCUAUUUCUGUUCCAAUGCAGAAUCCAAGGCUGCUUUGCAAGGAUGAACUUAUAAGCAAGCGUCCUUCGAAGGGAACUAGGUAGCUGCUGUAGUCUAGUAGCUCCAUUUAUUUAGAAGUCUAAUUCGGUAUGGAAUCUCGUUUAUGUUUGUUCCUUGGAUCCUUUCUGCUUGCCUUUUGAUUCUUAUUUUGGAAUAAAGUAACUGUACAAGUAGAUAAAAAAACAAGCAAUAUAUUUGUAAAUACAGUAUACCAUCUCGUUUUGGGGGAUAAAUACAGUAUACUUACCUGUAAGUAAAAGAAUUUGCUUUGAUGUAUCCAUCUAAAUCAUCUAUUAAUUCUGUUAUUUCCAUAGACUGUUACCAGGAAAACUGAAGUAAUUACUAAAACUGAACAAAAAGGGAAGUAGUAAGUCGUAUCUGAGUAAUGUAUACUCCUUUGAAAGAAAUGAUAACAUCCAUUACCAUUUCCAUAGACUGUUAGUUUUGGCUGGAUUUCUAGAGUAGAUAAUGGAGAGGCUCAUGAUCUUGUGAAGUGGGCUGCGAACCAAAUGGC